UGUCCCUACGGGAUGCAGCAGUGGGGAAUAUUGGGCAAUGGGCGCAAGCCUGACCCAGCAACGCCGCGUGAAGGAAGAAGGCUUUCGGGUUGUAAACUUCUUUUCUCAGGGACGAAGAAAGUGACGGUACCUGAGGAAUAAGCCACGGCUAACUACGUGCCAGCAGCCGCGGUAAUACGUAGGAGGCAAGCGUUAUCCGGAGUUACUGGGUGUAAAGGGCGUGUAGGCGGGAAAGGAAGGCAGAUGUGAAAACCACGG
rnacentral:rRNA from 1 species